AAAAGCCCUUUAGUUACUCGACGUAACACCUUCCGCUCAUAUCAGCCUACAGCGCAUCAGCGCACAAUAUUAAUUAUCAUCCUACUAUCCUUAUCAAUUACUAUCCAUCGUUUGUACCAUAUUUCGAGCCAUUUAUCGAAGAAAUUCAAGGUACCAAACCGAUCACUCUCAGUUCAGCAGAGUAUAAACAAGCCG